UUUUAUGUUAAUGUACAAGUGUAUUCUUUACUUAUAUUUUGUUUUACAUUAAAACUCAACAAGACAUUCUGGUAGAUUUGUACUAUCUCUUUUGUUGCUAAGCAUUAUAAUUAUUUCUUUAAACAUUAUACAUAUUUAACUGACUACUUUGUGUUUUAGAUGGCAGUACAGCAGAUCACUCGAGGCAUGCUGAGACAUGAAUUAACAUUUCUAUCACUUUGGAAAGUUACAACAUCUUCCGUUGAAAAUUGGAAUAGAAGAUGGCAGUAUAUCAGAUCAAUCGAGGCACGCUGAGACACGAAUUCACAUUUCUACCACCAAGGAAAGUAUCAACAUACUAUGUUGAAAAUGGACUAGAAGAUACUGAUAAUAAUAUUGGAUUUAUGCAAUAUGGCAGUACAGCAGAUCAUUCGAUACAUGCUGAGACAAGAAUUCACAUUUCUACCACCAUGCUAAAUAUCAAUAUGCUACGUUGAAAAUUGUACUAGACGGUACUGCUAAUAAUAAUGGUUUUGUGCAACGUGCGUGUAAUGGAUGGCAGUACAGCAGAUCAUUCAAUACACGCUGAGACAUGAAUUCACAUUUCUACCACUAUGCUAAAUAUCAAUAUGCUACGUUGCAAAUUGUACUGACAUUGUAUUGACGUUCAAAUAUUACAUUUAAGAUGAUACUUCAUACACACAAUAAAACAUGAUUUUACAUGAUGGCAGUACAGCAGAUCACUCGAGGCAUGCUGAGACAUGAAUUAACAUUUCUAUCACUUUGGAAAGUUACAACAUCUUCCGUUGAAAAUUGGAAUAGAAGAUGGCAGUAUAUCAGAUCAAUCGAGGCACGCUGAGACACGAAUUCACAUUUCUACCACCAAGGAAAGUAUCAACAUACUAUGUUGAAAAUGGACUAGAAGAUACUGAUAAUAAUAUUGGAUUUAUGCAAUGUGCGUGCAAUGGUUAUUGAAUAUAAUUGAUACUAAAUUAAUAGCUGUGAAACAAUUGAGAUUUGUUAAAUAUCUGAAUAAAAUAAUAGUAAACAACUUUA